AACGAACGCUGGCGGCAUGCCUAACACAUGCAAGUCGAACGAGACCUUCGGGUCUAGUGGCGCACGGGUGCGUACCGCGUGGGAACCUGCCCUUAGGUUCGGAAUAACUCCCCGAAAGGGGUGCUAAUACCGGAUAAUGUCUUCGGACCAAAGAUUUAUCGCCUUUGGAUGGGCCCGCGUUGGAUUAGCGAGUUGGUAGGGUAAAAGCCUACCAAGGCGACGAUCCAUAGCUGGUCUGAGAGGAUGAUCAACCACACUGGGACUGAGACACGGCCCAGACUCCUACGGGAGGCAGCAGUGGGGAAUAUUGGACAAUGGGCGAAAGCCUGAUCCAGCAAUGCCGCGUGAGUGAUGAAGGCCUUAGGGUUGUAAAGCUCUUUUAGCCGGGAUGAUAAUGACAGUACCGGGAGAAUAAGCUCCGGCUAACUACGUG
rnacentral:rRNA from 1 species